rnacentral:rRNA from 1 species
AGGACGAACGCUGGCGGCGUGCUUAACACAUGCAAGUCGAGCGGAAAGGCCCUUCGGGGUACUCGAGCGGCGAACGGGUGAGUAACACGUGAGCAAUCUGCCCUUAGCUUCGGGAUAGCCCCGGGAAACCGGGAUUAAUACCGAAUAUGACCUCGGCCGACAUCGGCUUUGGUGGAAAGUUUUUCGGCUAGGGAUGAACUCGCGGCCUAUCAGCUUGUUGGUGGGGUAAUGGCCUACCAAGGCGACGACGGGUAGCCGGCCUGAGAGGGCGACCGGCCACACUGGGACUGAGACACGGCCCAGACUCCUACGGGAGGCAGCAGUGGGGAAUAUUGCGCAAUGGGCGAAAGCCUGACGCAGCGACGCCGCGUGGGGGAUGAAGGCCUUCGGGUUGUAACCCCUUUCAGCAGGGACGAAGCGAGAGUGACGGUACCUGCAGAAGAAGCGCCGGCUAACUACGUGCCAGCAGCCGC